ACACACAACAACAAUGGCGUCUGCAAGGCAUAGUGAGCACGAGGUCAAGAUCCAAAAAGUGGAUCAACUACCAAGAGAACAAAAGAUGUGCUAAUUUUAAGGAGAUGCUGUAGCUCUUCUCCUGGAUGGGGGUGUUUGGUGGCCAGGAGCAUGUUCCUUGACGGAAAAAAUGAUAGAAGAAGAAGACAUACAGGAAGAUGAAUAAGAGGGUACAUCACUUCGAGGAAAGAAAACCUCCUCAUCUACAUGAAUGAAAUGGACGGAGGCUGAACUGGAGGAGGUUAAGGAAUAUUUCAGAGAAUGUCUGAUCUUGAACACCACUCCAGGAAGAAUAACUUGCAAUAUGUGGAUAGAGGAAAGCAGAGUUAAUAUAAUAAGCUAUGGGAAACUCUAAAGAAGAAAGUGUGGAGUCUGCCCCCCCCCCCCCCCCAAAAAAAAAUAAAAAAUAAAACCACCUUGACAGUUUUUGGAUAUAAAAUCUACAGCAAAACUUAAUUAUGUAAUGAUGUUUGUUUUCAUCUUCCUCCUUGCUCUUAUUACAGUGAAUUUUUUUUUUUUUAGUUUUGAGACAAUUUAUUUUCAUUUUCAUCACCGUUUACCAUACUUUUCACUGAAAUUGAAUCAAUGGUAAUUUCUUUUAUUGUGAGAAAGACAUGCAUUGUAUCUUUUUAGAAAGGAUGUAAUCAGUUUGAGAAUGUUAUCAUUCAAAAGUACAUUUUCAUUUAAUUGGACAUUUGAUGAGAAUUUUGUUUGAUCAAGUCAAAUUAUUGCAAGAUUGCAAUUUAUUUAGCAGUAUGGUAGUAUAAAAUUAUUUGUAGUAUUUUCAUGGAUUUUCUUCAUUUGAUGAGAACUUCUUUUAUUAAAGGAACUGAUUGCCAAUUUUUGUAACUAAGCACUUGAUUUAUUUAAGACACCGUUUGCCCUUUGUCAUAAAUAUAUCUUUGUAUCAAAGCCUAGAUUAUUAUCUUUCUGUGUUUUGAAGAUAAAAACAAAAGAAAGUUGACACCUCUUAGUUUGGUAAUUACAUAUACUUUGUGGUAGAUGAAUUGAAGGUUUGUGGACAAAAUAUUUUCAUUAUAUUGCUUGAAUUUUCUUGAACUGUGGCCAUGAUGCAAUUAUUUGAGAUCCAUGCUUAGAAAAAUUGUUAAUUGCUAAAUUGUCAUUUGCAUAACAGCCAGGUAGUUGCAAAAUGAUGGUACAUGUAGCUUGACCUAUCAUAAAUUGAUAUUUGUAAAGGUUUCUAGACCAGAUAUGUAGUGUUCAAAAAAUAUUUGAACUAUUUAAUGCUUAUAAUGCUUAUGAAUGCCAAUUGUUUUUUGAAAAAUAAAAACGAAAUGUUAAAAUCU
rnacentral:sRNA from 1 species